AACAUCUUCAGAGUUAAAGUAUUCUUCAAUUUUCUUCUUCUGAAAACAUUAAAUAAUUUUAUUAUAUUAGGAAUCUAUUGUUUUUUAUUUCAGUUUAGGUUGCAUCAGGUAUAGUUCUAGGGCAAUGAUAGUAGCCCAGUAUAAACUAGUAAACAGGUAAGCAGUAAACUCUGAUUUUAUAUUCCUAAUGCAUUUACACUAUACCAAAGUACUCUAAUUUCAGAUUAUUAGUAGCUCUGGAAGUUAAAAGAUAAAAUGGUUACUUGUUGUUGUUGUUGUUGUUGUAUAUGAUGCUAUAUCUGCUGUAUCAUUACCAAAAAGAAUAAACACGUUUGUGGUUGUUGGUUCUGUCUGAGCUGUGGAUGCAAGCAGAUGCAAAAAAACAGACAUUAAUGUGAUUUUUUAAAUAAAAAAGAAAUUAUAUUUCAAAAUACAUUUCAGUUAAAUUUUAUUUCAUUUAGACCUAAUUUCAAUCUUAAUUAAACCUAAGAAAAUGUCCUGAAUCAUCACACAUCAACUUAAAACACAAAAAAUACUUGAGUACCCUAAUAGUUAGUAAAUGUGUAGAUUAUUCACGUUAAAAAUAAGUAGAAAUGUAGAAAUUGGGGGAAGGUGGGGUAGAAACCUUCUUGCAAAAGUGUGUACACUCAUUAACUACAAAUACAAAUUAUUAAUCAUUUCAUUUUGAACUAAACCUCCUGAAACAGUAAUAAGUACAAUACUGCACAACUCUUGAUUUCCAUCAAAUGAGCAUUCAGUACUUUGUUAAUGUAGUGGAAGACAAUAAUAACAGGGAACCAUACACUACAUUAAUUCUGUGUUCAAACAGCGAUACAGAACUUAUUUGCACAGGUCAAUAUUAAAAUUCACCAGUACAUGAAAAAGAUUUACAUAUUUUCAUAACUUUUCUAUGCUUGCCGGCAAUUUUAGACCAUCACAGAAUCAAAUUCAGUUAAAGCCAUGCUAUAUAGUUUUUUUUUUCUUAACUGUUGUUUUAGAUAUUCAGUAGCAUCCGAUAAACUAAGUAAGACAAAUUUAUUUAAUUUUUGUUUAACUCACCGGUUACUCCAUUUGUAAACAG
ensembl:lncRNA